rnacentral:pre_miRNA from 1 species
AAAAAGGCAAACUCUGGGUUUUCAUGCCAACGUUUGACUGUCCGUCUUAUAUGAAAUUUUUUAUAAUUAGUAUUUUUAUUGUUGUUAGAUGAUAAAACAUAAUUAAUACUUUAUGCGUGACUUAUCUUUUUAAUUUUUUUCAUAACUUUUUCAAAUAAGACGGACGGUCAAACAUUGGGAUGCGGCUUCCCUGUUC